ensembl:misc_RNA Metazoa_SRP Metazoan signal recognition particle RNA
GCCAGGAGUGGUGGUGCGGGCCUGUAGUCCCAGCUACUUCGAAGGCUGAGGUGGGAGGAUUGCUUGACUCCAGGAGUUCUGGGCUGUAGUGCGCUAUGCCAAUCAGGUGUCCACACUAAGUUUGGCAUCAAUAUGGUAACCUCCCGGGAGCAGGGGACCACUAGGUUGCCUAAGGAGGGGUGAACUGGCCCAGGUUGGAAAUGGAGCAGGUCAAAACUCCCAUGCUGAUCAGUAGUGGGGUCGCACCUGUGACUAGCCACUGCACUAUACAAUUAAGUACAGUCUUUUUUCCCCCUAGUU